rnacentral:rRNA from 1 species
UACGGGGGGGGCAAGCGUUGUUCGGAAUUACUGGGCGUAAAGGGCUCGUAGGCGGCCAACUAAGUCAGACGUGAAAUCCCUCGGCUUAACCGGGGAACUGCAUCUGAUACUGGAUGGCUUGAGAUUGGGAGAGGGAUGCGGAAUUCCAGGUGUAGCGGUGAAAUGCGUAGAUAUCUGGAGGAACACCGGUGGCGAAGGCGGCAUCCUGGACCGGCAUUGACGCUGAGGCGCGAAAGCCAGGGGAGCAAACGGG